rnacentral:rRNA from 1 species
UGGGGAAUAUUGCACAAUGGGGGAAACCCCUGAUGCAGCGACGCCGCGUGAGCGAAGAAGUAUUUCGGUAUGUAAAGCUCUAUCAGCAGGGAAGAAAAUGACGGUACCUGACUAAGAAGCCCCGGCUAACUACGUGCC